CACCUUCGAGUUAUUUUUCAACCGGACUUCCAGCCGCCAUCAUGUUUGCAGAACUGCCUUUGAUCCUGGUCCAUGCAUGGGUCAUAAAAAUCCACCCUUCCUUGAGGCAGAGACUUGCAACCAGACCCUGAAGAUGUGUGAAACCUCCUGGCAGCUGUGAUGCUGGUGAUGAUCCUGUUUAAGUGAGCCAUAGACUUCAUUAAAUCCACUGGUGCCACGGACCACUCAGACGGAGGAUACCACUGUGGGAGAAGGAGGGCUCUGGUACUCAGGAAGGCACAGGUUUGGUGCAAUGACAGACAGACACAACACACUCAGGGUGAUUUGAAUCUGCUGCGAUUUUACUAAAUUUCUGCUUUGUGGUUAUAUACAAUGCUUGAACAGGAGCUAAUUUUUGGCCCCUUGCCAGGGUACAGUCAAACCAUAACAAAGAAAAAGUUUAACAGUUUAAAUGAAGUUCAGAACAGAAAGCAAGACAGGAAAUAAACUUU
ensembl:lncRNA